CGCAGCAAUCAGUUUGCAGUCAGCAAUCGUACCAAGUAGACGUGUUUUAGCUUAGCUCUUCAACUAGCCGCAAACAGUGCGGAGUGCGAGAAACUUUGGUCUUUGUUAUCGUUUCCUUUCGCGUGCGGAGUUUUGUUUACGUGCGGGUGGCGUGUUUCAGAAUCAAAAGUUCGUGACGAGAGGCGAUUAUUUGUAUCGGAAAGUGCUACCAGACUGAUCGGGUGGGAAAAACGAAUGUUUUUUCCCACACUGAUGACAAAGUUAGGAAAGAAAGGACAAUUAAAGGUUGUGGUUUUUAGGAAAAACCGCAAAAAAGCAGUGACUUGUCGCGAACAAAGAAAGCUGUGAUUUGGUAAAAGUUUUUGAAGUUAAUGAUUCUGGAAUAUAUUUGAACAAGACUGAAGUGUUAGAAGACUGAUUUGUGCGGAAAAGAAAUAAUGGCGGUCGCAUUUUACAUUCCCUCGGUGGACGAGGAUGGACAAAUCAAGCCUAAUCAGGCUUAUCAGCAACAUGAACAGCAACAGCACCAGCAGCAGCAACAGUCGGCCGCAAGUCCGAACGUGUCGCAACAGGUCUGUUCCGCCGAGUACAGCCAACAACAGCAACACCUGAUGCUGCUAUUUCACGAGAUCCUGCUCGCCUACGCGAGUGAAGCCAUACUAGCGCAGCGGGCCACGUCACUGACCAGCCCCUCUACCUGUUUGCUGUGCAAAAAGUUGUACUAUCUGUUCCGGCGAAUCUACUGACGGCUGCGUCACACCGCUGCCAUCGAUGAGAACAAAAACGUUAGCCAAAAGCGUGCCAGGACUAUUGAUAAAGCAACUGCUACAAACACUUAUUCUGCUACUACUACUACCACUACUACUACUACUACUAUUAAUACUAGGACUAAGCGUGUGCCGUACAGGAGAGCGAGAGAAACUAGGUCAAGGUCUGAUGAUGGUGCUACCAACACUACCACCAGAAGCACUGUUAGCUGUAAGCGUUUUAAACGGAACGAGUUGUGAAUUUUGGUGCUACUGGAGAGAGAUUUUGCAACGAUGGCUCACGAUUCCUGCGAAAAGGAUACAUUUCGAGUUCAGCAAAUCUCCCGGCGAAAUUUUUGCAUUUGGUCAGAAGCGAGUUGGUCCGGUUGGAAUACUGAGGCCUAUGGACCUGGACCGACUGGUUGGUCUGGAUUGACCAAACAAGAGACGUAGGCUGUUUAGGAUGGUUUCACAUGAUCAACAAAUUAUUUUGAAUGUUUUGGCGUAAGAUGGGCAAUCCCAGCUUCGAACUGAAUAUUUUGAACAAACAACCUUUUCUAAUCGAACUCUGUACAUAUUAAAGCAGUUACUCUCCUCGUGUAUCGAUAUAUUCUGUAAGUGAACGAGAUAGCUGUGAAAACCAAAGCAUCUGAUCAAAAGACAAACUACAAAACAAUGACAAAGAAACCCGCUGGUUUUAUACCUAGGCUUAGGCAAGUAACUUUUUAUUCAUUUUGUCAAACGAAACGACAGCAAGUCUAUUUAUAUAAACGAUACAUUUUUGCAUAGUGGUAAAACUUCGUGUUAGAUUGUUAAGAAAAGCGUAUUGUGACCCCCGUAGGCUAAGGCAAUCGAAGCAUACAAACAAACCAACAAAGAAAAGCGCAUUGUGAUAUUAAACUUCUUUUUUCUUAAUUUUUAAAUGUGACAUUUCUAUUCAAACGAAUCGAAACGAUUUUAAAAAUGGCAUUGAAAGAGAAGACAAAAAAUGGCGGCAGCCGCACAGAGAUAGAGAUACUGUAAAUAUUUAUUUUAAAAAUUGACAAAAAAGAGUUACAUAGCAAAGCGAACAAGUCGUUGUUCGCUCGCAGUUAGCCGUAAGAUUUCCAGUAUUUUUUGCAUUAUAUUCUAUGGAAAACUAAGUAGCAGUAGUUUAUAAGAUUCUAGCAGUUAGUCAACGAAAAAUAUGAAAAAAUACAAAAAGUCUACAAACAAUUUCAAUUAUUUACUUUAAUCAUUGUAUGAAGAGAACUUACUAUCUUAAGAAAUUUGUGCAGCUGAAUAUUUCAAUCAAAAUGAUUGUUUGUAUAUAGUGUACCACUUGAUGAGGAUUUGAUGUUGCAUUUACCGCCAGCUUCCAGAAGAGGAACCUGGUUUUGUUAGACCAAAAAAAACUUAAGGAGACAGAAAAAAGCAAAAAAAAAAUAAUUUACCUUACGUAUUAUUUAAUUAUUCAAAACAAAACUAGCUUAAUUUACGCAAUUUCAGUUAUUCAUUGAUUGUAAUUUUUGUUGGCUACUUCGACAAAUGAAAAGAUGGUUUGAAUAAAUC